rnacentral:rRNA from 1 species
AAUCAACGCUGGCGGCGUGCCUCAGACAUGCAAGUCGAACGAUUAAAGCUCUCUUCGGAGAGUGCAUAGAGUGGCGCACGGGUGAGUAACACGUAAGUAAUCUACCUUCGAGUGGGGAAUAACGUCCGGAAACGGACGCUAAUACCGCAUAAUGCAGCGGCAUCGCAAGAUGACAGUUGUUAAAGAUUUAUCGCUUGAAGAGGAGCUUGCGGCAGAUUAGCUAGUUGGUAAGGUAAUGGCUUACCAAGGCUACGAUCUGUAACCGGUCUUAGAGGACGGUCGGUCACACUGACACUGAAUAACGGGUCAGACUCCUACGGGAGGCAGCAGUCGGGAAUUUUGGGCAAUGGGCGAAAGCCUGACCCAGCAACGCCGCGUGAAGGAUGAGGUAUUUCGGUAUGUAAACUUCGAAAGAAUGGGAAGAAUAAAUGACGGUACCAUUUAUAAGGUCCGGCUAACUACGUGCCAGCAGCCGCCGUAAUAC